UAAUACGAAGGGAGCUAGCGUUACUCGGAAUUAUUGGGCGUAAAGCGUGCGUAGGCGGCUAUGUAAGUCAGGAGUGAAAGCCUGGGGCUCAACCCCAGAAUUGCUCUUGAUACUGCUUAGCUAGAGUAUCAGAGGGGAUAGCGGAAUUCCUAGUGUAGAGGUGAAAUUCGUAGAUAUUAGGAGGAACACCGGUGGCGAAGGCGGCUAUCUGGCUGAAAACUGACGCUGUUGCACGAAAGCGUGGGGAGCAAACAGGAUUAGAUACCCUGGUAGUCCACGCCCUAAACGAUGAGUGCUAGAUAUCGGGACUUGUUCUUGGUGUCGCAGCUAACGCGUUAAGCACUCCGCCUGGGAAGUACGGUCGCAAGAUUA
rnacentral:rRNA from 1 species